UACGUAGGGUGCAAGCGUUGUCCGGAAUUAUUGGGCGUAAAGAGUUCGUAGGCGGUUUGUCGCGUCCGUUGUGAAAGCUUGGGGCUCAACCCCAAGUCGGCAGUGGAUACGGGCAGACUAGAGUCAGGUAGGGGAGAACGGAAUUCCUGGUGUAGCGGUGAAAUGCGCAGAUAUCAGGAGGAACACCGGUGGCGAAGGCGGUUCUCUGGGCCUGUACUGACGCUGAGGAACGAAAGCGUGGGGAGCGAACAGG
rnacentral:rRNA from 1 species